rnacentral:rRNA from 1 species
AUCUACCGCUACACUUCUCUGAGUGCACCCAGUCUAGUCUGACCCUGGAAGCUAAGCAGAGCCAACCGGGUUAGUACUGAGAUGGGAGAGAGUCAUCUGAAGGCAGGUG